rnacentral:tRNA from 1 species
GAACGUGGCUUAGUGGCCAGAGCACUUGGAUGACAUACAAAAGGCGUAGAUUCAAAACCCACUACGUUCA